rnacentral:rRNA from 1 species
UACGGAGGGUGCGAGCGUUGUCCGGAAUCACUGGGCGUAAAGGGCGCGUAGGCGGCUUCUCAAGCGUGUGGUGAAAGUCCGGGGCUCAACCCCGGAUCGGCCGUGCGGACUGGGGAGCUCGAGUUCUGUAGAGGCGGGUGGAAUUCCGGGUGCAGCGGUGGAAUGCGUAGAGAUCCGGAAGAACACCGGUGGCGAAGGCGGCCCGCUGGGCAGAGACUGACGCUGAGGCGCGACAGCGUGGGGAGCAAACAGG